AGUGAACGCUGGCGGUAGGCCUAACACAUGCAAGUCGAACGGCAGCACAGUAAGAGCUUGCUCUUACGGGUGGCGAGUGGCGGACGGGUGAGGAAUACAUCGGAAUCUACUUUUUCGUGGGGGAUAACGUAGGGAAACUUACGCUAGUACCGCAUACGACCUACGGGUGAAAGCAGGGGAUCUUCGGACCUUGCGCGAUUGAAUGGGCCGAUGUCGGAUUAGCUAGUUGGCGGGGUAAAGGCCCACCAAGGCGACGAUCCGUAGCUGGUCUGAGAGGAUGAUCAGCCACACUGGAACUGAGACACGGUCCAGACUCCUACGGGAGGCAGCAGUGGGGAAUAUUGGACAAUGGGCGCAAGCCUGAUCCAGCCAUACCGCGUGGGUGAAGAAGGCCUUCGGGUUGUAAAGCCCUUUUGUUGGGAAAGAAAAGCAGCAGGUUAAUACCCCGCUGUUCUGACGGUACCCAAAGAAUAAGCACCGGCUAACUUCGUG
rnacentral:rRNA from 1 species